CACAGAUGGAGCUAACGGGGAGCCUCCAAGAGGUAAUAAGGCAUCACAGACGGAGCUAACGGGGAGCCUGCAAGAGGUAAUAAGGCAUCACAGAUGGAGCUAACGGGGAGCCUCCAAGAGGUAAUAAGGCAUCACAGAUGUAACUAAUGACU